rnacentral:rRNA from 1 species
AAUGAACGUUGGCGGCAUGGAUUAGGCAUGCAAGUCGGGGGAAUCCCAGCAAUGGGGGAACCGGCGUAAGGGGCAGUAAGGCAUGGGUACCUACCUUGGGGUUCGGGAUAGCCAUCAGAGAUGGUGGGUAAUACCGGAUGACGUCGUGAGACCAAAGAUUUAUCGCCCUUAGAGGGGCCCAUGUGAUAUUAGCUAGUUGGUGGGGUAACGGCCCACCAAGGCGAAGAUGUCUAGCGGGUGUGAGAGCACGACCCGCGCCACUCGCACUGAGACACUGGCGAGACACCUACGGGUGGCUGCAGUCGAGGAUCUUCGGCAAUGAGCGCAAGCUUGACCGAGCGAUGCCGCGUGAGCGAUGAAGGCCUUCGGGUUGUAAAACUCUUUAGUGGGGGAGAAAAGCCGCAAGGUGUGAUCUAUCCCAAAAAUAAGCACGGGCUAAGUUCGUGCCAGCAGCCGCGGUAA